GAUGAACGCUGGCGGCGUGCCUAAUACAUGCAAGUCGAGCGAACAGACGAGGAGCUUGCUCCUCUGACGUUAGCGGCGGACGGGUGAGUAACACGUGGAUAACCUACCUAUAAGACUGGGAUCACUUCGGGAAACCGGAGCUAAUACCGGAUAAUAUAUUGAACCGCAUGGUUCAAUAGUGAAAGACGGUUUUGCUGUCACUUAUAGAUGGAUCCGCGCCGCAUUAGCUAGUUGGUAAGGUAACGGCUUACCAAGGCAACGAUGCGUAGCCGACCUGAGAGAGUGAUCGGCCACACUGGAACGGGGACACGGUCCAGACUCCUACGGGAGGCAGCAGUAGGGAAUCUUCCGCAAAGGGCGAAAGCCUGACGGAGCAACGCCGCGUGAGUGAUGAAGGUCUUCGGAUCGUAAAACUCUGUUAUUAGGGAAGAACAAAUGUGUAAGUAACUAUGCACGGCUUGACGGUACCUAAUCAGAAAGCCACGGCUAACUACGUG
rnacentral:rRNA from 1 species